CGAGGGGAGGACGGGAGGAGAGGAGGGUGCGGUGUUUGCAGGUCCUCACUCCUCUCCUCCCGUCUUCUUCUUCC
rfam:Myotis davidii contig124692, whole genome shotgun sequence.